rnacentral:rRNA from 1 species
UACAGAGGUCUCAAGCGUUGUUCGGAUUCAUUGGGCGUAAAGGGUGCGUAGGCGGCGCGGUAAGUCGGGUGUGAAAUCUCGGGGCUUAACUCCGAAACUGCAUUCGAUACUGCCGUGCUUGAGGACUGGAGAGGAGACUGGAAUUUACGGUGUAGCAGUGAAAUGCGUAGAUAUCGUGAGGAAGACCAGUGGCGAAGGCGGAUCUCUGGACAGUUCCUGACGCUGAGGCGCGAAGGCCAGGGGAGCAAACAGG